rnacentral:rRNA from 20 species
UGGUGGCGAUAGCGAAGAGGUCACACCCGUUCCCAUGCCGAACACGGAAGUUAAGCUCUUCAGCGCCGAUGGUAGUCGGGGGUUUCCCCCUGUGAGAGUAGGACGCCGCCAAGCU